GUCAGAUACUGGCCUAGCAAGGGCUCCAGGGAUGGGACAGAUGACUGAGCUUUGGUUGAGGGGAGAGAAACCAAAGAAAAUAACCACACAACUUUCCAGAUUGUCAUCCAAGCAUGAAUUCCCUUCAGAACCCCGAGGUGCCCACUGUGCCUGCCCAUGUAGAUGGCCCCAGUGACAGAGUUGUGCAAACUAUAACCAC